GUGGGGAAUAUUGGACAAUGGGGGAAACCCUGAUCCAGCCAUGCCGCGUGAGUGAAGAAGGCCCUAGGGUUGUAAAGCUCUUUCAGCGGGGAAGAUAAUGACGGUACCCGCAGAAGAAGCCCCGGCUAACUUCGUGCCAGCAGCCGCGGUAAUACGAAGGGGGCUAGCGUUGUUCGGAUUUACUGGGCGUAAAGCGCGCGUAGGCGGGUCGUUAAGUCAGGGGUGAAAUGCCGAGGCUCAACCUCGGAACUGCCUUUGAUACUGGCGACCUGGAGUUCGGGAGAGGUGAGUGGAAUUCCGAGUGUAGAGGUGAAAUUCGUAGAUAUUCGGAGGAACACCAGAAGCGAAGGCGGCUCACUGGCCCGAUACUGACGCUGAGGCGCGAAAGCGUGGGGAGCAAACAGGAUUAGAAACCCUAGUAGUCC
rnacentral:rRNA from 1 species